rnacentral:rRNA from 1 species
CGCGUAGGUGGUAGUGUAAGUCUGAGGUGGAAUCCCAGGGCUUAACCCUGGAACUGCCUUGGAAACUGCAUUACUUGAGUCAGUGAGGGGAGGGUAGAAUUCCUGGUGUAGCGGUGAAAUGCGUAGAUAUCAGGAGGAAGGCCUGUGGCGAAGGCGGCCCUCUGGUGCUGGACUGACACUGAGGCGCGAAAGCGUGGGGAGCAAACAGGAUUAGAUACCCUGAUAGUCCACGCCCUAAACGGUGGGCACUAGGUGUAGGGGCUCGUAAGGGUUCUGUGCCGAAGGGAACCAUUAAGUGCCCCGCCUGGGGAGUACGGCCGCAAGGUUGAA